AACGAACGCUGGCGGCAUGCCUAACACAUGCAAGUCGAACGAGACCUUCGGGUCUAGUGGCGCACGGGUGCGUAACGCGUGGGAACCUGCCCUUAGGUUCGGAAUAACUCCCCGAAAGGGGUGCUAAUACCGGAUAAUAUCUUCGGACCAAAGAUUUAUCGCCUUUGGAUGGGCCCGCGUUGGAUUAGCUAGUUGGUAGGGUACAAGCCUACCAAGGCGACGAUCCAUAGCUGGUCUGAGAGGAUGAUCAGCCACACUGGGACUGAGACACGGCCCAGACUCCUACGGGAAGCAGCAGUGGGGAAUAUUGGACAAUGGGCGAAAGCCUGAUCCAGCAAUGCCGCGUGAGUGAUGAAGGCCUUAGGGUUGUAAAGCUCUUUUACCCGGGAUGAUAAUGACAGUACCGGGAGAAUAAGCUCCGGCUAACUCCGUG
rnacentral:rRNA from 1 species